UAACACGUAAACAACCUGCCUUCAGGAUGGGGAUAACAGACGGAAACGACUGCUAAUACCGAAUACGUUCCACGGGCCGCAUGACCUGUGGAAGAAAGGGUAGCCUCUACCUGUAAGCUAUCGCCUGAGGAGGGGUUUGCGUCUGAUUAGGCAGUUGGUGGGGUAACGGCCCACCAAACCAACGAUCAGUAGCCGGUCUGAGAGGAUGAACGGCCACACUGGAACUGAGACACGGUCCAG
rnacentral:rRNA from 1 species